AUUGAACGCUGGCGGCAUGCCUUACACAUGCAAGUCGAACGGUAACAGGUCUUCGGAUGCUGACGAGUGGCGAACGGGUGAGUAAUACAUCGGAACGUGCCUAGUAGUGGGGGAUAACUACUCGAAAGAGUGGCUAAUACCGCAUGAGAUCUACGGAUGAAAGCAGGGGAUCGCAAGACCUUGUGCUACUAGAGCGGCCGAUGGCAGAUUAGGUAGUUGGUGGGAUAAAGGCUUACCAAGCCGACGAUCUGUAGCUGGUCUGAGAGGACGAUCAGCCGCACUGGGACUGGGACACGGCCCAGACUCCUACGGGAGGCAGCAGUGGGGAAUUUUGGACAAUGGGCGCAAGCCUGAUCCAGCAAUGCCGCGUGCAGGAUGAAGGCCUUCGGGUUGUAAACUGCUUUUGUACGGAACGAAAAGCCCUGGGUUAAUACCCUGGGGUCAUGACGGUACCGUAAGAAUAAGCACCGGCUAACUACGUGCCAGCCGCCGCCGUAAGAC
rnacentral:rRNA from 1 species